GUAAACGGCGGCCGUAACUAUAACGGUCCUAAGGUAGCGAAAUUCCUUGUCGGGUAAGUUCCGACCUGCACGAAUGGUGUAAUGAUCCGGACACUGUCUCGACCGUGAGCUCGGUGAAAUUGUAGUAUCGGUGAAGAUGCCGAUUACCCGCAACGGGACGAAAAGACCCCGUGAACCUUUACUGCAGCUUAGCAUUGGGGCCGGGUGUGCGAUGUGUAGGAUAGUCCGGAGACUGAGAAUCGGUGACGCCAGUCAUCGAGGAGUCGCUGUUGAAAUACGGGCCUUCGCACAUUUGGCUUCUAACGCGCUUGAAGCGCGGACAUUGCUUGGUGGGUAGUUUGACUGGGGUGGUCGCCUCCAAAAGCGUAACGGAGGCUCCUAAAGGUGCCCUCAGGCCGAUUGGCAACCGGCCGCAGAGUGCAAUGGCAUAAGGGCGCUUGACUGCGAGACAGACACGUCGAACAGGAAGGAAACUUGAGCAUAGUGAUCCGGCGGUUCCGCAUGGAAGGGCCGUCGCUCAAAGGAUAAAAGGUACUCCGGGGAUAACAGGCUGAUCCCUCCCAAGAGCUCAUAUCGACGGAGUGGUUUGGCACCUCGAUGUCGGCUCGUCACAUCCCGGGGCUGGAGAAGGUCCCAAGGGUUAGGCUGUUCGCCUAUUAAAGUGGCACGCGAGCUGGGUUCAGAACGUCGUGAGACAGUUCGGUCUCUAUCUGUUGUGGGCGUUGAGAUUUGCGGAGAUCCGGCACUAGUACGAGAGGACCGUGCUGGACAGACCUCCUGUGCGCCGGUUGUCCCGCCGAGGGGCACCGCCGGGUAGCAGCGUCUGGAGAGGAUAAGUGCUGAAAGCAUCUAAGCACGAAGCCGACUCCAAGAUUAGAUCUCGCCAAGGGCCGUCGGAGACUACGACGUCGAUAGGCCGCAGGUGCAAGCGUGGCGACACGUUCAGCCGAGCGGUACUAAUUGCCCGAACAUUCCGUGGAA
rnacentral:rRNA from 1 species